GGGCCCUUAGCUCAGUCUGGUUAGAGCGCUCGGCUCAUAAUGACAUCUGUCGAUUUCAGGUGGCAUGGGAUACCGGGUGGUCAUUGGUUCGAAUCCGAUAGGGCCCA
rnacentral:tRNA from 1 species